CUUUUUUUUUUCUCCUAAGAUCUCGUUCGUUUCAGCUAUAGGAAUCAGGGAUUAUAGGAGUCAUCAUUCUGUAUGGCCAAGCCGUUCAGGUCGUGGUCAAAUCCGGUCGACGAGAGCAUGAUAUACCGAUUUCAUCAUUUUACAACUACCUAUACUGAUUGUGUUAUAUCUCCUACUACUUCACCAUCUUUUGUUCGAGUAGUAGCUAAAGUAAUAAAAUCGCUCUUAGUAAUUUUAUAUCGAAAGUUUGAAA